rnacentral:rRNA from 1 species
UUAAGUUAUUAAGGGCGCACGGUGGAUGCCUUGGCACUAGAAGCCGAUGAAGGACGUUACUAACGACGAUAUGCUUUGGGGAGCUGUAAGUAAGCUUUGAUCCAGAGAUUUCCGAAUGGGGAAACCCAGCAUGAGUUAUGUCAUGUUAUCGAUAUGUGAAUACAUAGCAUAUCAGAAGGCACACCCGGAGAACUGAAACAUCUUAGUACCCGGAGGAAGAGAAAGAAAAUUCGAUUCCCUUAGUAGCGGCGAGCGAAACGGGAAGAGCCCAAACCAAAAAGCUUGCUUGUUGGGGUUGUAGGACACUCUAUACGGAGUUACAAAGGACGACAUUAGACGAAUCAUCUGGAAAGAUGAAUCAAAGAAGGUAAUAAUCCUGUAGUCGAAAAUGUUGUCUCUCUUGAGUGGAUCCUGAGUACGACGGAGCACGUGAAAUUCCGUCGGAAUCUGGGAGGACCAUCUCCUAAGGCUAAAUACUCUCUAGUGACCGAUAGUGAACCAGUACCGUGAGGGAAAGGUGAAAAGCACCCCGGAAGGGGAGUGAAAUAGAACCUGAAACCGUGUGCUUACAAGUAGUCAGAGCCCGUUAAUGGGUGAUGGCGUGCCUUUUGUAGAAUGAACCGGCGAGUUACGAUUUGAUGCAAGGUUAAGCAGUAAAUGUGGAGCCGUAGCGAAAGCGAGUCUGAAUAGGGCGUUUAGUAUUUGGUCGUAGACCCGAAACCAGGUGAUCUACCCUUGAUCAGGUUGAAGUUCAGGUAACACUGAAUGGAGGACCGAACCGACUUACGUUGAAAAGUGAGCGGAUGAACUGAGGGUAGCGGAGAAAUUCCAAUCGAACCUGGAGAUAGCUGGUUCUCUCCGAAAUAGCUUUAGGGCUAGCCUCAAGUGAUGAUUAUUGGAGGUAGAGCACUGUUUGGACGAGGGGCCCCUCUCGGGUUACCGAAUUCAGACAAACUCCGAAUGCCAAUUAAUUUAACUUGGGAGUCAGAACAUGGGUGAUAAGGUCCGUGUUCGAAAGGGAAACAGCCCAGACCACCAGCUAAGGUCCCAAAAUAUAUGUUAAGUGGAAAAGGAUGUGGCGUUGCCCAGACAACUAGGAUGUUGGCUUAGAAGCAGCCAUCAUUUAAAGAGUGCGUAAUAGCUCACUAGUCGAGUGACACUGCGCCGAAAAUGUACCGGGGCUAAACAUAUUACCGAAGCUGUGGAUUGUCCUUUGGACAAUGGUAGGAGAGCGUUCUAAGGGCGUUGAAGCAUGAUCGUAAGGACAUGUGGAGCGCUUAGAAGUGAGAAUGCCGGUGUGAGUAGCGAAAGACGGGUGAGAAUCCCGUCCACCGAUUGACUAAGGUUUCCAGAGGAAGGCUCGUCCGCUCUGGGUUAGUCGGGUCCUAAGCUGAGGCCGACAGGCGUAGGCGAUGGAUAACAGGUUGAUAUUCCUGUACCACCUAUAAUCGUUUUAAUCGAUGGGGGGACGCAGUAGGAUAGGCGAAGCGUGCGAUUGGAUUGCACGUCUAAGCAGUAAGGCUGAGUAUUAGGCAAAUCCGGUACUCGUUAAGGCUGAGCUGUGAUGGGGAGAAGACAUUGAGUCUUCGAGUCGUUGAUUUCACACUGCCGAGAAAAGCCUCUAGAUAGAAAAUAGGUGCCCGUACCGCAAACCGACACAGGUAGUCAAGAUGAGAAUUCUAAGGUGAGCGAGCGAACUCUCGUUAAGGAACUCGGCAAAAUGACCCCGUAACUUCGGGAGAAGGGGUGCUCUUUAGGGUUAACGCCCAGAAGAGCCGCAGUGAAUAGGCCCAAGCGACUGUUUAUCAAAAACACAGGUCUCUGCUAAACCGUAAGGUGAUGUAUAGGGGCUGACGCCUGCCCGGUGCUGGAAGGUUAAGAGGAGUGGUUAGCUUCUGCGAAGCUACGAAUCGAAGCCCCAGUAAACGGCGGCCGUAACUAUAACGGUCCUAAGGUAGCGAAAUUCCUUGUCGGGUAAGUUCCGACCCGCACGAAAGGCGUAACGAUUUGGGCACUGUCUCAACGAGAGACUCGGUGAAAUCAUAGUACCUGUGAAGAUGCAGGUUACCCGCGACAGGACGGAAAGACCCCGUGGAGCUUUACUGUAGCCUGAUAUUGAAAUUCGGCACAGCUUGUACAGGAUAGGUAGGAGCCUUUGAAACGUGAGCGCUAGCUUACGUGGAGGCGCUGGUGGGAUACUACCCUAGCUGUGUUGGCUUUCUAACCCGCACCACUUAUCGUGGUGGGAGACAGUGUCAGGCGGGCAGUUUGACUGGGGCGGUCGCCUCCUAAAAGGUAACGGAGGCGCUCAAAGGUUCCCUCAGAAUGGUUGGAAAUCAUUCAUAGAGUGUAAAGGCAUAAGGGAGCUUGACUGCGAGACCUACAAGUCGAGCAGGGUCGAAAGACGGACUUAGUGAUCCGGUGGUUCCGCAUGGAAGGGCCAUCGCUCAACGGAUAAAAGCUACCCCGGGGAUAACAGGCUUAUCUCCCCCAAGAGUUCACAUCGACGGGGAGGUUUGGCACCUCGAUGUCGGCUCAUCGCAUCCUGGGGCUGUAGUCGGUCCCAAGGGUUGGGCUGUUCGCCCAUUAAAGCGGUACGCGAGCUGGGUUCAGAACGUCGUGAGACAGUUCGGUCCCUAUCCGUCGUGGGCGUAGGAAAUUUGAGAGGAGCUGUCCUUAGUACGAGAGGACCGGGAUGGACAUACCUCUGGUGUACCAGUUGUCGUGCCAACGGCAUAGCUGGGUAGCUAUGUGUGGACGGGAUAAGUGCUGAAAGCAUCUAAGCAUGAAGCCCCCCUCAAGAUGAGAUUUCCCAACUUCGGUUAUAAGAUCCCUCAAAGAUGAUGAGGUUAAUAGGUUCGAGGUGGAAGCAUGGUGACAUGUGGAGCUGACGAAUACUAAUCGAUCGAAGACUUAAUCAA